rnacentral:rRNA from 1 species
GACGAAGGGGCUAGCGUUGUUCGGAAUUACUGGGCGUAAAGCGCGUGUAGGCGGUUGCCCAAGUCGGUGUGAAGCCUUGAGCUCAACUCAAGAAAUGCACUCGGUACUGGGUGACUAGAGGACCGGAGAGGAUAGUGGAAUUCCAGUGUAGUGGUGAAAUACGUAGAGAUUGGAAGAACACCAGUGGCGAAGGCGGCUAUCUGGACGGUUUCUGACGCUAAGACGCGAAAGCGUGGGAGCAACAGG